rnacentral:rRNA from 1 species
UACUUCCUACGGGGCGCAGCAGUGGGGAAUAUUGCACAAUGGGGGAAACCCUGAUGCAGCGACGCCGCGUGAGCGAUGAAGUAUUUCGGUAUGUAAAGCUCUAUCAGCAGGGAAGAAAAUGACGGUACCUGACUAAGAAGCCCCGGCUAACUACGUGUCAGCAGCCGCGGUAAUACGUAGGGGGCAAGCGUUAUCCGGAUUUACUGGGUGUAAAGGGAGCGUAGACGGUCCUGCAAGCCAGAUGUGAAAGCCCGGGCCUCAACCCAGGGACUGCAUUUGGAACUGUAAGGCUAGAGUGUCGGAGG